AACGCAUCUUGCGCUCCUUGGCAUUCCGAGGAGCACGCCUGUUUGAGUGUCAUUAAAUUCCUCAAAUCUUCCAAUCUUGCCCCCCCCAGGGCUGGAGUGGUUGGUUUGGAUUGUUGGAGUAUGCAGGCUCGUUUUGAAGGGCCUGCUCCUCUGAAAUACAUUAGCAAUGGCUGUGGUGUCGUAUGCACCAGUCGUUGGCAUGGUAAAAAUACUUGUAUUUUGUGCCAGUUGACAUAGACGACCACUUCCCAUGCUUCUAAUCUCGUCGCCCAUUUUCUGGGUGCCCUUUAUGACCAAUUUUGACCUCAAAUCAGGUGGGACUACCCGCUGAACUUAA
rnacentral:misc_RNA from 1 species